CGAUGGCUUUGCGGAAAGAGGCGCCUGUUUGUCCCGGAGAAGCGGAGUCAGAGCGAGGCGAAUAUUGGAAGGGGAGGAUUUAUAGAUGGGAAACUCAAAACUUCACAUCAAGAUUUAACUGAGUCUUUCCAUUCAUCAGGACCUGAAAAUCAUCAGCCUUUGAAUGUGGAAGGAGAAAUGUUUCUCUGCUCUGUCUGUGGGAGAAUAUUUCAGCUGGAGUGAAAGUGUUCCAGUGCACUGACUGUGGAAAGAGCUUUAAC